AACGCGAAGAACCUUACCUGGCCUUGAACCGCACAGGACCAGCUCCAGAAAUGGGGCCUUCCCGCAAGGGACCUGUGUAGAGGUGCUGCAUGGCUGUCGUCAGCUCGUGCCGUGAGGUGUUGGGUUAAGUCCCGCAACGAGCGCAACCCUUACUCAUAGUUGCCACCCGCAAGGGGGAACUCUACGAGGACUGCUCCGGAUAACGGAGAGGAAGGUGGGGAUGACGUCAAGUCAGCACGGCCUUUAUGUCCAGGGCUACACACGUGUUACAAUGCACGGUACAGACUGUUGCGAACCCGCGAGGGGGAGCUAAUCGGAUAAAACCGUGCUCAGUUCGGAUUGCAGUCUGCAACUCGACUGCAUGAAGCUGGAAUCGCUAGUAAUGGCGUAUCAGAUCGACGCCGUGAAUACGUUCCCGGGCCUUGUACACACCGUAGAGAC
rnacentral:rRNA from 1 species